rnacentral:rRNA from 1 species
AUGAACGCUGGCGGCGUGCCUAAUACAUGCAAGUCGAGCGAACGGACGAGAAGCUUGCUUCUCUGAUGUUAGCGGCGGACGGGUGAGUAACACGUGGAUAACCUACCUAUAAGACUGGGAUAACUUCGGGAAACCGGAGCUAAUACCGGAUAAUAUUUUGAACCGCAUGGUUCAAAAGUGAAAGACGGUCUUGCUGUCACUUAUAGAUGGAUCCGCGCUGCAUUAGCUAGUUGGUAAGGUAACGGCUUACCAAGGCAACGAUGCAUAGCCGACCUGAGAGGGUGAUCGGCCACACUGGAACUGAGACACGGUCCAGACUCCUACGGGAGGCAGCAGUAGGGAAUCUUCCGCAAUGGGCGAAAGCCUGACGGAGCAACGCCGCGUGAGUGAUGAAGGUCUUCGGAUCGUAAAACUCUGUCAUUAGGGAAGAACAUAUGUGUAAGUAACUGUGCACAUCCUGACGGUACCUAAUCAGAAAGCCACGGCUAACUACGUG